GAAAUGCGAUAAGUAAUGUGAAUUGCAGAAUUCAGUGAAUCAUCGAGUCUUUGAACGCACAUUGCGCCCCCUGGCAUUCCGGGGGGCAUGCCUGUCCGAGCGUCAUUGCUGCCCUUCAAGCCCGGCUUGUGUGUUGGGUCGUCGUCCCCUCCGGGGGACGGGCCCGAAAGGCAGCGGCGGCACCGCGUCCGGUCCUCGAGCGUAUGGGGCUUUGUCACCCGCUCGAUAAGGACCGGCCGGGCGCCAGCCGGCGUCUCCAACCUUUUUUUCUCAGGUUGACCUCGGAUCAGGUAGGGAUACCCGCUGAACUUAGGC
rnacentral:misc_RNA from 1 species